UACUUAAAUAGUUUAUAUAAAAUACUAGCUUGUGGUGUUAGAGAAGUAAAGUUUACUUUAAGU
rnacentral:tRNA from 1 species